rnacentral:rRNA from 1 species
AUUGAACGCUGGCGGCGUGCUUAACACAUGCAUGUCGAUCGGUAACAGGUGUAGCAAUACAUGCUGACGAGAGGCGGACGGGUGAGGAACGCUUGGGAAUCUGCCUAUCAGCGGGGGACAACCCGGGGAAACCCGGGCUAAUACCGCAUACGCUCUACGGAGGAAAGCCGGAGACCGCAAGGCCUGGCACUGAUAGAUGAGCCCAAGUCGGAUUAGCUAGUUGGCGGGGUAACGGCCCACCAAGGCGACGAUCCGUAGCUGGUCUGAGAGGACGAUCAGCCACACCGGAACUGAGACACGGUCCGGACUCCUACGGGAGGCAGCAGUGGGGAAUAUUGGACAAUGGGCGAAAGCCUGAUCCAGCGACGCCGCGUGGGUGAAGAAGGCCUGCGGGUUGUAAAGCCCUUUCGGUAGGGACGAAAGCUCUUGCCCUAACAAGGCAGGAGGUUGACUUAACCUACAUAAGAAGCACCGGCUAACUCUGUGCCAGCAGCCGCCGUAAAAC